UACCUGCAGCUCGAGUGGUAACCGCUAUUAUUGGGCCUAAAGCGUCCGUAGCCGGUUUGGUAAAUAUCUGGGUAAAUCGUGAGGCUUAACUUCACGAAUUUCGGAUAGACUGCCAGACUUGGGAUCGGGGGAGGUCAGAGGUUACUCCAGGGGUUAGCGGUGAAAUGUUGUAAUCCUUGGAGGACCACCGGUAGCGAAGGCGUCUGACUAGAACGAGUCCGACGGUCGAGGGACCGAAGGCCCCUGGGGGCGCAAACCGGAUUAGAUGCCCGGGUAGUCCAGGGUGUAGACAAUGUGGGCUUUGUAUUGGAGAUCCCACGAGGGUGUCCAGUGCAGAAGAGAAGUUGUUAAGCCCACCGCCUGGGAAGUACGGUCGCAAGGCUGAAACUUAAAGGAAUUGGCGGGGGAGCGACAGCAACGGGAGGAGCGUGCGGUUU
rnacentral:rRNA from 1 species